UGCACCGUGAGUUAAAUUAUACUCUUAAUUGGAGGAAACUCAUCCAUAUCCAAAUAAAUUUAAAUCAUCAUUUAAUUUAGAGGUUUAUAUUUGAUUUAAUCUUUUUUUUCUUUAUUAAUCCUCGUGAUUUUAGCUUUUGGAGUUAAUUUGAAUAGGUUUGAAGAAAAGGAUCUUGAUGGAAAUGAAUUUUGGGGGUUAAACCCCUUCAAAAUAUGACUUGGAGAACUUUUUAGGUACCCAAGUUCACCCAAUAAAGGUUGGGCAGAUUUCCCAAUAUGCCUUCAAUUGCAGAAAUCGACAGUGACAACACGUUGAAAAAAGGGCUCUGAAGUUGCAACAACGAGGAGAGGUUCGCUUAAGUGAAGUUCCCAAAAGCGACACCCUCUCUUUUAAGCAAACAUCGCUUAAGUAGAGGGGCACUCACAAAAGUGAACCCCAGUUUUAAAUGAAAGAUCGCGAAAGUGAGCACAGAUCUCUUAAGUAAAGAUUUGUGAAGUGUCAAGAAUAGCACAACAACUUCAUUUUGAGAGGAAGUUGUGGUCGAAUAUGACCAAUAUCGAUUUGUCUUUCUCAAAGCUCAGGAAAACUACUAUUUUGACCUGAUCAAGAAGAAAUUGAUGCUCUAGAGAGGCAUAACACUUUCUUAAGUGGCCGAGAUGCUUCCAAACUUUUCCCGAAAGUUGAAUAAUUCUGGAUAGAUUUGCUUUUCUCUUAAACUAUGCAACACAAACGAGUAAUGCGUGAGGAAAAUUUUAUGCCAACCUCAUGGAGGCCAAGAUUUCAACAAGGUUGGUAACUAUUUGGGGCAAGAUCGUUGACUUAAGUGUGAGGUGGUAUUGUUUGGCUAAAUGUGUCGUUAAGCCUAUAAUAAUGGUCUCUCACUUUAGUAUGUUAUUAUUCAUUGUAGCACUCACUAUGAAAAUUUUAGCUAUGUUGUAUUUAUAUAGAUAUAGUAAGAAACAAGAUACGAAAAUAGUGAAAGCAUGUAAAAAGGGAACAAAAACAUGAAAAAAUUGAGAGCUACAAAGCUAAUCGCACAUGCCACAGCGAUGCAGGCGUGUUGUGUUGGAAAAA